rnacentral:rRNA from 1 species
AUACGGAGGGUGCAAGCGUUGUUCGGAAUUAUUGGGCGUAAAGAGCGCGUAGGCGGUCGUCUAAGUCAGGUGUGAAAGCCCCAGGCUCAACCUGGGAAGUGCACUUGAAACUGGACGACUUGAGUACGGGAGAGGAGAGUGGAAUUCCUGGUGUAGAGGUGAAAUUCGUAGAUAUCAGGAGGAACACCGGUGGCGAAGGCGACUCUCUGGACCGAUACUGACGCUGAGGCGCGAAAGCGUGGGGAGCAAACAGGAUUAGAAACCCCGGUAGUCC